rnacentral:rRNA from 1 species
UGCAGAGAGUGCGAACGUUGUUCGGAAUUACUGGGCUUAAAGCGCGCGUAGGCGGCGUCGUAAGUGUCGGGUGAAAUCCCACGGCUCACCCGUGGAACUGCCCGGCAUACUGCGGCGCUAGAGUGUGGUAGGGGAGAGCGGAACUCCUGGUGGAGCGGUGAAAUGCGUAGAUAUCAGGGGGAACACCGGUGGCGAAGGCGGCUCUCUGGUCCACAACUGACGCUGAGGUGCGAAAGCUAGGGGAGCAAACGGG